GGUCAAGCUACAAAGGGCUCACGGAGGAUACCUAGGCACACAGAGGCGAUGAAGGACGUGGUUACCUGCGAUAAGUCUUGGGGAGUUGGAAGCACACUUUGAUCCGGGAAUU
rnacentral:rRNA from 1 species